GGGCUUCGUCUAGUUGUGCGCGACAAUGUUGCAUUAAGUUAGGUCUUGACCAUGGACUACUACAUCUAGAGGACGAGACUCUUCGAGGUUUCCUAUGUCGGCCAUGAGAAAGGGAAGAAAGUCCGUUUCACCGGUGCUACCUAGCGGCCAAGUUCCAGAAGCUCUUACAACUAAACGUCUGCGACCGGCAAAAUUUGAAACAUUUUUUGAAAAUCUUUCGUCUCUGUUUUCAACCUAUUUACAUAAUUUUCUAACGUUGGGAAACAUACAUAUAAAAAACAGUU